rnacentral:rRNA from 1 species
CGCUGGCGGCACGCCUAAUACAUGCAAGUCGAACGAAGUAGCAAUACUUAGUGGCAGACGGGUGAGUAACAUGUGGGUAUCUUCCCUUUGGUGAGGAAUAACACGAGGAAACUUGUGCUAAUACCUCAUAAGUCUUUACGGAGAAAGCUUUAUGCGCCAUUGGAUGAGCCUGCACUUGAUUAGUUUGUUGGUGGGGUAAUGGCUUACCAAGACAAUGAUCAAUAGCUGAUUUGAGAGGAUGAUCAGCCACAUUGGGACUGAGACACGGCCCAAACUCCUACGGGAGGCAGCAGUAGGGAAUCUUGCACAAUGGGGGAAACCCUGAUGCAGCGAUGCCGCGUGAGUGAAGAAGGCCUUUGGGUUGUAAAGCUCUUUCGUCGGGGAAGAAAAUGACUGUACCCGAAUAAGAAGGUCCGGCUAACUUCGUGCCAGCAGCCGCGGUAAUACGAAGGGACCUAGCGUAGUUCGGAAUUACUGGGCUUAAAGAGUUCGUAGGUGGUUAAAAAAGUUGGUGGUGAAAUCCCAGAGCUUAACUCUGGAACUGCCAUCAAAACUUUUUAGCUAGAGUAUGAUAGAGGAAAGCAGAAUUUCUAGUGUAGAGGUGAAAUUCGUAGAUAUUAGAAAGAAUACCAAUUGCGAAGGCAGCUUUCUGGAUCAUUACUGACACUGAGGAACGAAAGCAUGGGUAGCGAAGAGGAUUAGAUACCCUCGUAGUCCAUGCCGUAAACGAUGUGUGUUAGACGUUGGAAAUUUAUUUUCAGUGUCGCAGCGAAAGCAAUAAACACACCGCCUGGGGAGUACGA